ACAUAAGUUAGAAAGGGCGCACGGUGGAUGCCUUGGCACUAGGAGCCGAUGAAGGACGGGAUUAACACCGAUAUGCUUUGGGGAGCUGUAAGUAAGCUUUGAUCCAGAGAUUUCCGAAUGGGGAAACCCUCUAUCCGUAAUGGGAUAGAAUCUUUACCUGAAUACAUAGGGUACUGAAGGCAGACCCGGGGAACUGAAACAUCUAAGUACCCGGAGGAAGAGAAAGCAAACGCGAUUCCCUGAGUAGCGGCGAGCGAAACGGGAUUAGCCCAAACCAAGAGGCUUGCCUCUUGGGGUUGUAGGACACUCUAUAUGGAGUUACAAAGGAACGGGGUAGACGAAUCGAUCUGGAAAGGUCAGUCGUAGAAGGUAAAAACCCUGUAGUCGAAACUUCGUUCCCUCUUGAGUGUAUCCUGAGUACGGCGGGACACGAGAAAU
rnacentral:ncRNA from 1 species